UACAGAGGUCUCAAGCGUUGUUCGGAUUCAUUGGGCGUAAAGGGUGCGUAGGUGGCGCCGUAAGUCAGGUGUGAAAUCUCGGAGCUCAACUCCGAAACUGCACUUGAUACUGCGGUGCUCGAGUACUGGAGAGGAGAUUGGAAUUUACGGUGUAACAGUGAAAUGCGUAGAUAUCGUAAGGAAGACCAGUGGCGAAGGCGAAUCUCUGGACAGUUACUGACACUGAGGCACGAAGGCCAGGGGAGCAAACGGG
rnacentral:rRNA from 1 species